rnacentral:lncRNA from 1 species
GAGUUCAGUUUAGGGCUUAAAACCCUAAUGCUGACUAAAGGAAAAAGUUCAGUUUAGGGUUUAAAACCCUAAUGCUAACUGAAUGGAAAUAGUUCAGUUUAGGGUUUAAAACCCUAAUGCUGACUGAAGGAAAAAGUUCAGUUUAGGGUUUAAAACCCUAAUGCUAACUGAAUGGAAAAAGUUCAGUUUAGGGUUUAAAACCCUAAUGCUGACUAAAGGAAAAGAGUUCAGUUUAGGGUUUAAAACCCUAAUGCUGACUAAAGGAAAAAGUUCAGUUUAGGAUUUAAAACCCUAAUGUUGACUGAAUGGAAAAAGUUCAGUUUAGAGUUUAAAACCAUAAUGCUGACUGAAUGGAAAAAGUUCAGUUUAGGGUUUAAAACCUUAAUGAUGACUAAAGGAAAAGAGUUCAGCUUAGGGUUUAAAACCCUAACGCUGACUAAAGGAAAAAGUUCAGUUUAGGGUUUAAAACCCUAAUGCUGACUGAAUGGAAAUAGUUCAGUUUAGGGUUUAAAACCCUAAUGCUGACUGAAGGAAAGAGUUCAGUUUAGGAUUUAAAACCCUAAUGUUGACUGAAUGGAAAAAGUUCAGUUUAGAGUUUAAAACCCUAAUGCUGACUGAGUGGAAAAAGUUCAGUUUAGGGUUUAAAACCCUAAUGAUGACUAAAGGAAAAGAGUUCAGUUUAGGGUUUAAAACCCUAAUGCUGACUAAAGGAAAAAGUUCAGUUUAGGGUUUAAAACCCUAAUGCUGACUGAAUGGAAAAAGUUCAGUUUAGGGUUUAAAACCUUAAUGCUGACUGAAUGGAAAAAGUUCAGUUUAGGGUUUAAAACCUUAAUGUUGACUGAAGGAAAAAGUUCAGUUUAGGGUUUAAAACCCUAAUGCUGACUGAAGGAAAGAGUUCAGUUUAGGGUUUAAAACCCUAAUGCUGACUGAAUGGAAAAAGUUCAGUUUAGGAUAUAAAACCCUAAUGUUGACUGAAUGGAAAAAGUUCAGUUUAGGGUUUAAAACCCUAAUGCUGACUGAAGGAAAGAGUUCAGUUUAGGGUUUAAAACCCUAAUGCUGACUAAAUAAAAGAGUUCAGUUUAGGGUUUAAAACCCUAAUGCUGACUGAAUGGAAAAAGUUCAGUUUAGGGUUUAAACCCCUAAUGCUUACUAAAGGAAAAGAGUUCAGUUUAGGGUUUAAAACCCUAAUGCUGACUAAAGGAAAAAGUUCAGUUUAGGGUUUAAAACCCUAAUGCUGACUGAAUGGAAAAGUUCAGUUUAGGGUUUAAAACCCUAAUGCUGACUAAAUGGAAAAAGUUCAGUUUAGGGUUUAAAACCCUAAUGCUAACUAAAUGGAAAAGCUCAGUUUAGGGUUUAAAACCCUAAUGCUGGCUGAAAGGAAAAAAGUUCAGUUUAGGGUUUAAAACCCUAAUGCUAACUAAAUGAAAA